AUUGAACGCUGGCGGCAUGCCUAACACAUGCAAGUCGAACGGGUUGUACUUCGGUACAGCUAGUGGCGGACGGGUGAGUAACACAUAGGAAUCUGCCCGAGAGUGGGGGAUAACCCAGGGAAACUUGGAUUAAUACCGCAUGAUCUCUACGGAGCAAAGCUGGGGACCUUCGGGCCUGGCGCUUUUGGAGGAGCCUAUGUCUGAUUAGCUUGUUGGUGAGGUAACGGCUCACCAAGGCGACGAUCAGUAACUGGUCUGAGAGGACGACCAGUCACACCGGAACUGAGACACGGUCCGGACUCCUACGGGAGGCAGCAGUGGGGAAUAUUGGACAAUGGGCGAAAGCCUGAUCCAGCAAUGCCGCGUGUGUGAAGAAGGCCUUCGGGUUGUAAAGCACUUUAGGAUGGAAAGAAAAAACUUCAGUUAAUAGCUGAAGUCUUGACGUACCAUCAGAAUAAGCACCGCUAACU
rnacentral:rRNA from 1 species